rnacentral:tRNA from 1 species
AAGGUCUUAGCUUAAUUAAAGUGUCUGGGUUGCAUUCAGAAGAUGUGGAAUAAGUUCUGCCGGUCUUA